rnacentral:misc_RNA from 1 species
GAUGAAGAACGAAGCGAAAUGCGAUACGUAAUGUGAAUUGCAGAAUUCAGUGAAUCAUCGAGUCUUUGAACGCACAUUGCGCCCCCUGGUAUUCCGGGGGGCAUGCCUGUCCGAGCGUCAUUGCUGCCCUCAAGCACGGCUUGUGUGUUGGGCCUCCGUCCUCCUCCCGGGGGACGGGCCCGAAAGGCAGCGGCGGCACCGCGUCCGGUCCUCGAGCGUAUGGGGCUUCGUCACCCGCUCUUGUAGGCCCGGCCGGCGCUUGCCGACACAUCAAUCUUUUUUCCAGGUUGACCUCGGAUCAGGUAGGGAUACCCGCUGAACUUAAGCAUAUCAAUAAGCGGAGGA